CGCGGGGUGGAGCAGCCUGGUAGCUCGUCGGGCUCAUAACCCGAAGGUCGUCGGUUCAAAUCCGGCCCCCGCAACCG
rnacentral:tRNA from 3 species